CCUACGGGAGGCAGCAGUGAGGGAUAUUGGUCAAUGGACGAGAGUCUGAACCAGCCAAGUAGCGUGAAGGAUGACUGCCCUCUGGGUUGUAAACUUCUUUUAUAUGGGAAUAAAACAGGGUAUGCAUACCCUCUUGUGUGUACCAUAUGAAUAAGGAUCGGCUAACUCCGUGCCAGCAGCCGCGGUAAUACGGAGGAUCCGAGCGUUAUCCGGAUUUAUUGGGUUUAAAGGGAGCGUAGGUGGAUUGUUAAGUCAGUUGUGAAAGUUUGCGGCUCAACCGUAAAAUUGCAGUGGAAACUGGCAGUCUUGAGUACAGUAGAGGUGGGCGGAAUUCGUGGUGUAGCGGUGAAAUGCUUAGAUAUCACGAAGAACUCCGAUUGCGAAGGCAGCUCACUGGACUGCAACUGACACUGAGGCUCGAAAGUGUGGGUAGCAAACAGGAUUAGAUACCCGAGUAGUC
rnacentral:rRNA from 1 species